CCUACGGGUGGCAGCCGUGAGGAAUAUUGGUCAAUGGACGAGAGUCUGAACCAGCCAAGUAGCGUGAAGGAUGACUGCUCUAUGAGUUGUAAACUUCUUUUAUAAAGGAAUAAAACGACGCACGUGUGCCUUUUUGAAUGUACUUUAUGAAUAAGGAUCGGCUAACUCCGUGCCAGCAGCCGCGGUAAUACGGAGGAUCCGAGCGUUAUCCGGAUUUAUUGGGUUUAAAGGGUGCGUAGAUGGGUUGUUAAGUCAGUGGUGAAAGUUUGCGGCUUAACCGUAAAAGUGCAAUUGAUACUGGCAGUCUUGAGUACAGUUGAGGGAGGCGGAAUUCAUGGUGUAGCGGUGAAAUGCUUAGAGAUCACGAAGAACCCCGAUUGCGAAGGCAGCUUACUAAUCUAUGACUGACAUUGAUGCUCGAAAGUGUGGGGAUCAAACAGGAGUAGAUACCCGUGUAGUC
rnacentral:rRNA from 1 species